rnacentral:rRNA from 1 species
AGUGGCGGACGGGUGAGUAACGCGUGGGCAACCUACCCCACACAGGGGGACAACAGUUGGAAACGACUGCUAAUACCGCAUAGGCGCACAGCUUCGCAUGAAGCAGUGUGGAAAACCGAGGUGGUGUGGGAUGGGCCCGCGUCUGAUUAGCUGGUUGGCGGGUAACGGCCCACCAAGGCGACGAUCAGUAGCCGGCCUGAGAGGGUGGACGGCCACAUUGGGACUGAGACACGGCCCAAACUCCUACGGAAGGCAGCAG